rnacentral:rRNA from 1 species
CCUUAAAGUGACUGCGGA